UGGGGAAUAUUGGACAAUGGGCGCAAGCCUGAUCCAGCCAUGCCGCGUGAGUGAAGAAGGCCUUCGGGUUGUAAAGCUCUUUCGGCGGGGACGAAACGGUUCGUGACAACACCACGGACUAAUGACGGUACCCGCAUAAGAAGCACCGGCUAACUACGUGCCAGCAGCCGCGGUAAUACGUAGGGUGCAGGCGUUAAUCGGAAUUACUGGGCGUAAAGCGUGCGCAGGCGGUUUGUUAAGACAGGUGUGAAAUCCCCGGGCUUAACCUGGGAAUUGCGCUUGUAACUGGCAGGCUAGAGUGUGGCAGAGGGGGGUGGAAUUCCACGUGUAGCAGUGAAAUGCGUAGAUAUGUGGAGGA
rnacentral:rRNA from 1 species